rnacentral:rRNA from 1 species
CAUGCAAGUCGAACGAAGCGCUUAAACGGAUUUCUUCGGAUUGAAGUUUUUGCGACUGAGUGGCGGACGGGUGAGUAACGCGUGGGUAACCUGCCUCAUACAGGGGGAUAACAGUUAGAAAUGACUGCUAAUACCGCAUAAGCGCACAGUGCUGCAUGGCACAGUGUGAAAAACUCCGGUGGUAUGAGAUGGACCCGCGUCUGAUUAGCUAGUUGGUGGGGUGACGGCCUACCAAGGCGACGAUCAGUAGCCGGCCUGAGAGGGUGAGCGGCCACAUUGGGACUGAGACACGGCCCAAACUCCUACGGGAGGCAGCAGUGGGGAAUAUUGCACAAUGGGGGAAACCCUGAUGCAGCGACGCCGCGUGAGCGAAGAAGUAUUUCGGUAUGUAAAGCUCUAUCAGCAGGGAAGAAAAUGACGGUACCUGACUAAGAAGCACCGGCUAAAUACGUGCCAGCAGCCGCGGUAAUACGUAUGGUGCAAGCGUUAUCCGGAUUUACUGGGUGUAAAGGGAGCGUAGACGGUUGUGUAAGUCUGAUGUGAAAGCCCGGGGCUCAACCCCGGGACUGCAUUGGAAACUAUGUAACUAGAGUGUCGGAGAGGUAAGCGGAAUUCCUAGUGUAGCGGUGAAAUGCGUAGAUAUUAGGAGGAACACCAGUGGCGAAGGCGGCUUACUGGACGAUCACUGACGUUGAGGCUCGAAAGCGUGGGGAGCAAA